rnacentral:lncRNA from 10 species
AGUAAAUUGUGCGGCGGGGUCUGGAUGGAAAGGCGGGGCCCGCUGAAAGAAGGCGAUCCGAGUUCUGCUACUUCCUAGUAAGGGACGUCUCUGGAGAGAUUCUGAGGUGUUUGAGGUCAGUGGUUUUCAAUCUUGGUUGGCUACACAUAGGAAUCACUUGAGGGGCUUGAGAAAAAUACCGACACCUGAGUCCCACCCCCGAGAAAUUCUGAUGAAAUGGGUCCAGGGUGCAGCCUGAGUGGUGGAACUGGGACCGGGGCCUAGGCGUGGACAAGUAUAGGGGUAUUUCUGACCCUUCUCCUCAUUUCACCUCUUCUUUCUCCCACGGGUUCCUUUCUGGAAGCCUCUUUUGCCUACACACCGGCAGAUUCGUGGCCCCACCCAUCUCGAAGCCCCUCGGCCCAGGAACCCAGGGGAAGCUGCUGCCCUAGCAAUCCUGACCCGGACGACAGAUAUUACAACGGUGAGGAGUUCUCAUUCCCUCACCUGGCUUCAGCGCACUUCUCCCGACCUACUGGGGCAAACCGAAGGGCGCCCGGGAGCCCG